GCAGGUAUAACUUAGUUCUUUAUAAGUAAUCCAUGUCUAGGAAAAUACUCUAGGGUAUUUCUUAAAUAUGACUUUUUUUUUUUCUUUUUUUACAAUUUGGGCAAAAUGAUUCAGAUUUUAUAAGUGUCUUGGAUGAAAGAUUGGGAGAUGAGGUGAAUUGGUGGGAAGGAUGAUUUCAGGAAUCCUGUCUUCUAAUGUUGAAUUUGGCAGAAAUCAACAAUCCAAUUCAGGAUAAAGCCCAGGAAAUCUGGUUUACCCGGACGAUGUACAGCAUGUGCCAUGCCAUGAAUAAUGGAUGAUAACCUACAGGUUCAGAAAAAUGCAGAGACGAUGGAGUGUGUUGUUUCUAGACUCUCCCUGAGAUUCAGAGCCAUUUGCUGACUGCAAGAUCUCAAUUAAUUUAGAAAAUCCAAAAUUUUAUCGGUACAUGGAGGCGCUAGAUAGGAAUACCCUCUAAAGAAAAUGGAUGGAGAAGUUGCCUUGGGGAAGAGAACCAGAUGGACCAUGUGGCUUUUACUUAGUCUUAAAGGUACAGAAGAAAGAAGCAAG
rnacentral:lncRNA from 1 species